UACAGAGGGUGCGAGCGUUGUCCGGAAUCACUGGGCGUAAAGGGCGCGUAGGCGGCUUGAUAAGGUUGCGGUGAAAGCCCGGGGCUCAACCCCGGGUCGGCCGUGGCAACUGUCGAGCUGGAGCACUGUAGAGGCAGGUGGAAUUCCGGGUGUAGCGGUGGAAUGCGUAGAGAUCCGGAAGAACACCGGUGGCGAAGGCGGCCUGCUGGGCAGUGGCUGACGCUGAGGCGCGACAGCGUGGGGA
rnacentral:rRNA from 1 species